UUGAGAAGAAGGUUAUGAGAGGAGGAAAUUUCUCAAAAGAAUCAAUAGAAAGGUGGCGGAGGAGGUGAAGCGUAUGACACUCCAAUUACUGGUGGCAAUGGUCCCUCAUACACAGGAGCUGGAGGGGGUGACAGUGAUGGUGGUGGAGGUGAAUGGUAAAUAACUGGAGGUGGUGGUGGAGGUGAGGAAUAUGUUACAACGGGUGGCGGUGGUGAAGGUGAUGGGGGUGGCUUGUAAUGAAUUGGGGGAGGGGGCGAUGGGGAUGGUGGUGGUGGCGAGUACUCUACGCAUGGUGGUGGUGGCGGUGGAGGAGGUUCUAUACAUGGUGGAGGUGAAGGUGGUGGUGGAGAGUGAACCGGAGGAGGUGGGGAAUAAACAGGGGGUGGUGGCGGCGGCGGUGAUAAAUAUGGAUAAAUUGGAGGAGGGGAGUGUGGAGGCGGUGGUGGAGAAUGUGGUGGGGGUGGGGGUGAAUGAUGUGGCGGUGGAGGUGACUGAUGUGGUGGUGGAGGGGAGUUAUAGUAGUAAGGAACUGGUGGCGGCGGGGAGAACAAUGGAGGGGGUGGAGGUGGUGAAUUUGGUGGUGGAGGUGGGGACCUCACACAAUAUAUUGGCGCAGGUGGUGGGGGUGAAGGGGGCGGUGGUGACGGAUAAGUAGGUGGCGGGGGUGAAGGUGGUGGAGGUGAUGGAUAUGUAGGGGGUGGGGGUGAAGGAGGUGGUGGUGAGGGCGGUGGAGGUGAUGGUGGUGGAGGAGGUGGAGGUGGAGAGUAAACAGGCGGUGGUGGUGGCGGAGGCGAAGGAGGAGGAGGCGAGGGCGGUGGUGGGGGAGGUGAAAAAACUGGUGGGGGAGGGGGAGGUGGAGAGAAAACGGGUGGUGGAGGUGAAGGAGGGGGAGGGGGAGGGAGAGGGGGAGAGGAUAUAGGGGGUGGAGGUGGUGGUAGUGAUGGUGGUGGCAAAGCAACAGGGGGAGAAGGCACCGGAAUUGGCGGAGACGGCGGAGGAGGGGAAGGUAAAGAAGGAACAAAAGGAGCACAUUUAAAUGAAUUGCAGUCCACUGGCCUAGACAAGAAAGACUUACAUUGCGCCGCGCUUCUUUGCAAAGGUCUCGCAGGCAAGCAAUUUCUUCUAUCAUCAAAUGCACGUAAGUUCAAGCAAACCG
rnacentral:lncRNA from 1 species